AGUGAACGCUGGCGGUAGGCCUAACACAUGCAGGUCGAACGGCAGCACAGUAAGAGCUUGCUCUUACGGGUGGCGAGUGGCGGACGGGUGAGGAAUACAUCGGAAUCUACUUUUUCGUGGGUGAUAACGUAGGGAAACUUACGCUAAUACCGCAUACGACCUACGGGUUAAAGCAGGGGAUCUUCGGACCUUUCGCGAUUGAAUGAGCCGAUGUCGGAUUAGCUAGUUGGCGGGGUAAAGGCCCACCAAGGCGACGAUCCGUAGCUGGUCUGAGAGGAUGAUCAGCCACACUGGAACUGAGACACGGUCCAGACUCCUACGGGAGGCAGCAGUGGGGAAUAUUGGACAAUGGGCGCAAGCCUGAUCCAGCCAUACCGCGUGGGUGAAGAAGGCCUUCGGGUUGUAAAGCCCUUUUGUUGGGAAAGAAAAGAAGCAGGUUAAUACCCCGCUGUUCUGACGGUACCCAAAGAAUAAGCACCGGCUAACUUCGUG
rnacentral:rRNA from 1 species